AUGUUUAUUGUGUUUAAAUUUUUGUUCCAUGUAUUUAAAUAUGUGUUUAUUUUAAUAUGUGCCUUUAUUUAUUUUAAUUAGGUUAUACCUUGCCUCGGAAUUAUGUUGACACAGAUGUGGAGAAAUUGGCUCCUAUAUGCAUACGUGGUGGGCCUGCAAAGUACAAAAAUUCUAUAACAAGGUCAUGCCCUCCCUCGAGCUGUAAGGAGAGGAGAAGAACAAAAGAAGAACAAAAUGGAUCAGAGACUUGUCCCUUGUCCCCGAGAUGUAUCAGUCUAACAAGCAAGGUGAUAGGAGGAGAGAACAGAGUGACAGGCAGACAGAGAGGCCAAUGUGGGAAAGCUUUUCUCUGCCAACUAACUCAUCCACUUAUCUAUAUCCUUGAUCAAGACUAAAAGCUUGUGCAGGAUGUGGUUGAGUUCCAACAAGGUUUGCCCCUCAGAUUUCCUUCCAUACAGAGACCUUAGAGCUCUAGAGAUUUGCCAAGGGGCCUCUCUACCUCCAAACCUGGAAGGUAUGUUUUGCAUAGUCAGCUGUGGCCAAACCAAUGGGUUGAAUUUUUGAUUGCUACUGCCACUACCAUCAGAUUUGAAUGAGAAGGAAACCGGGGAGGCUGGCCGCCAUGAUUUUCCUGAGUCCUGCAUCCCACCCAACUCACCCCCAUCAUCUCUCACCUCUAUUAGAAAGUAAUCUUCAAACCCUGUGUCUGAGAAGAGGACAACCUUGUUUCUGGAGAUGUCACCAAGGAUGAGCACAGGGGCUCGUUCGUGAGUGUACCACAAGGGACGCGACGGAUGUGACAGGGACAUGAAGUUCCUCAAAACAUUCAGCUAUUUGGACGCAAAGAGGCCAGAGAAGAGAACAUCAGGACACAAUUAACAUUUCUCUUGCAUAAUGAAGCUACAGAGACCCAAAUAAUACAUUCUACAGGAUCUAUGGUAAAAUUUUGCAUCGUCUGUGCCCCAUUUGGCUGCAGACUAUGGUGAUAUAUUGUAAUGCUGCUCCACGAAGGGAGGGAGGCAGGCAGGCAGGCAGGCAGUCCCAAACUUAUACUGAAUUUUUCUCUGUGCUGUCUCCAUACCAUGUUUGCCCCUGUAAGCCCUUUUUAUACGUGUGGCACAACCAUACGGCAAAGUUUUCCCUGGACUGAAGUACUUGAGGCUGCUGAUCAUGGCUUCCAUGCCAAAACAAAGAAGCACUGUAUGCCCUUUACCAUUUUUAACCUAUCUUUUAAUAAAUGUUUAAAUAUUUUUCAUUCCACAUAUUUAUUUUUCAAAAUAUUUUUAAAACAUAUUUAAUUACCGUUUUUGUAUGUUGAGCUGUAAGGGAAAGGGCAAUAUUGGGGAAAAUACCAAUGAGGGUGAUUUUAGUAAUGAUGAUAACAGAAACAAUAACAACUCAGAUGCCUCUGUGAAUGCUGAACCCUCAUCAACCAAAGGGAUUUACCUUUCUCCCAAUCCUGAACCUAAUUCUUUUUCUACUUGCUCUCAUAUAUCCAUUUACAUUGAUAGAAAACCUAGAAAUAAGAAAAUAUUAUGAAUUUUAAAAAUCACAGGAAUCAGAACCUUUUAUGCUGUUAUGUUAGAAAAAACCACCAAUCCUUCAAGUGUUGUUGGAUUGUAAUUCACAAUACUGCUCACUGUAGGCUGCGCAGGUUAAGUCUGAAGUCUAACAACAUGUGAACAACAGCACGAUUCUAACCCAUUGUAAAAGAAGUCUCCAUUCUAAGAGACAUGAUUCAAAAGGAAGAGAGAAACCAGCUAAUUUAAUCAUGUUCAUAUCUAUGUGUAUAAUAAUGUCAAUAUAUACAUGUAGGCAUGUAUGUAGUAUAUAUGUAGGUAUGUAUCAACCUAUGUUUGUAUUUUCCAAGAUGGCCCUAUCUACAGAACCCUGUGACUCCCGUCAAUGACAGAGUAUGAUGGGAGAUGUAGUUAACACACAUCCUGCAAGCACUGUGAAGCCACCAAAGAUGGAUGUGGACCAACCUGGCACACAUACCCGUUGUGCCCAAGCUUGGGAAUCAUGUUUUCCAAGAGAUUAGAACACCCAAAAUUGUGUUCAAUCAAGCUAUAUGUUCAAUGUUUCAUCACAAACCAAAGCAUUUCUCUCACCUCUUAUCGUCCACAGGGAAGCCAAGGUGAUUGCUUCCCACCAUCACAUCCAUGACUACACUGCCAUUCAUGAAGGGCAUCGGCGUGCACCAGCACAUCCUGCAAACCUCUUCACUUCUGCAACCUUUUGGAGACACGGCAUAUUCAGAAAACAAAAACACAAGUGCAUUACAACUGAUCAAAUAAUAUUAAUUAGUAUUAAUAAUUCGGGUGGGUGGGUAACUUUGCGGAUUUAUUUGCAAAGCCAUUGCCACAUGCCAAGGGCAUUCACUAUCUGGAACUGGCAUACAUUUCAUUGAGUAUUUAGGGGGAAAACACAUUUCACAAGCAAUCACUUGUGGUCGAGUAUGAUUGUCUUCCAAGAGCAGAGUCUUGGCAGUGAUUCCGUAAGUGACUGUGGAAGUCUAUUCUGGAUCUACAGUAAGGACAUAGAUUUCCAGAUGGAAGGUGAUCACAGCAAGGGUUUGCUUGAUGUGUCUUCCUCUUGGCUGGUUUCUCCCUUUCACCCUCUAUUCAGGCCUCUUAAAAAUCCGUAGCACCGACUUCCGAGAGCGGCAGCAUGGCGGCUGGUUGAGUGUCUCGAGAGCGCUCAGACACAAGCCUCCCAAAAACGUCCUGGUUGAGCGUGCAAGCUCACCUCCCUAGAGCAGAUUGAGGCUCGAAAGUCUGUCAAACCCGUUAGGACCCCUAAUAAAACUCCCCAAGAACCAGAUCUCCCUCAAGGAGGCUGGUCAAGGGAGCCGGACGAGGGGCAACGGGCUGCGGGAUGCGAGGAGGCAAGCUCGGGCAAUGAAUCGACCCCUUUCCUGAUUACAGCAGCCUAGCCGCUCUUUUCCAAGAGAUGAAGAAACUAAAAUAAGAGAAAUGUAAGUACUUACGAAAGAAAUUGUUGUAAGGUGCAUGGAUUUAAGGGGAAAGGAAAGGUACUGGAAGAAACGGAGGCAUUCUCAAUAUAAGAGGGUGGUGGUGGGAGAGAGUGCUUCUCGCUGCCUAUCCUAACACUCUCUGGCUUUUAAAGAAUUAAAGACUGAUUGUUAAGUCAGUCAAGAUUUGGGAUCUGAAACUAAUUAAUCAGGACAGUAUUGAGAGAAAUUGGAGCUGAAAAUUGGAAAAACUGGAACUAGGCAGAAGCGGUAUAGAAAACUGAAGCCCUCAAAGAUAAGAAAAUUGUACAUCGAUCUUGAAGAGGAAUUUGUUUUGUCUAGCUAAGUACCACGUGACUCCAGGGAAGUGCCUGGUUGGGCUUGACCGGAAGUGAGUUGGAGGGAAUAAAGCAAACACCCCGGGCAGGAAUAGAAAGAAAGAACACCAACUAUAGACACUUAAGAGCAGCCUAGAGAACUGAAAGAGACAGAAAACAGGGAGAAAGAGGACCAAAACAGACGGGAGAAAUCAGCCGGCCUGGGUAGAAGAGGGAGAGGAGAUGGUACUUCGUGACAGUAUUGACUGUAAUGCAACAAAACGCCCGCAAAUAAACACAAGGGUCAAGGCCGAGAGGGGAAAUCACCGAGCUGAGGAUGAAUAAGGUAACACAAGGACGACAAGAAGACGCCCCCAAAUAAUAAGACAAGGACGAGAAGCAGACGAAAUGACGGACCAGAACGAGAAGCAUACGAGGGUCGAGAAAGCAGAAAGAAGAUGGACUCAGUUUACAAGGGUCUAUGGCUGAAUCCACCAGCUCUUUGAAGAUUUCCGCUACUGAAGGAAUUUCAUGCUGCCGAAAGAAGACGCUCCGGUCACCUCCGAGGUUAUCAAAUCUGUUGACUACAGCCAUCCACUUACAAUCUGAGUCCGAGAGUGUAUAUAUUGGCUGCAGGAGAAAGAGGAGCAGCCUGGCCAGAAGAAAUCUCCACAUGACAGAUCUUCUCAGAGGGUAACCUACCAAAUGGACAAAUAAACACAGAAUGCAGAUUCUUAUUUAAGUCACUCUCUGAGCUUCAUGUGUACAUACCUAUUGCCUGACAUUGUAGCCCUUUUGCCCAAUGUUUGAUCACACUUCAAUGUGUUCAAAAAGAAGGGAGGUUUGAUAUACAAUAGCGAGAUUCUAUGGAGCUGGGAAGGAAUCUCAGCAGUCUAUAGUAUAAAUGUACUAUUAGAAUUGGAACUGCUCAACCUUAGUUGUUUCCAGACUGGAUUUUAGGACUGCUUUAGGAUUGCGUUUCAGAGAGCAUUUUAAUCUCACAUAUGGAGUACAAAGAUACUCUGUUAUGCUUCCAAAUUAGACUUCAGACCUGUUCCUAAAUUGGUUUUGAAUGUUUUUAGAAGGCAAUUUUUAUUUUUGUACCGUUCAAAGACAAUCUGGAUUUUAUAUGGCAGUAUAGAUGGGGCCUUAGAAGGCAUUAUAUGUCCUUUUAUCUUUGUAUUAACAUUGGAUUUUGACUUUCAUAAUCUGACUCUUGCAGCAAAGACAACUUGUUCCCCUACCACAUCAUUAAUUCCAUGUGAGCAUGAAAUCAUGACAUCUUUUAAUUUCAAUUAAUCCCACCCAGAGCAAAGCUUUGGCUUUGCUUGCUGUUAGCUCUUUCGGAUGGGAGACAGAACGUAGAACGUUCCAAAAGUUUGUUCUUGUGACUUAGUUUCUGUUGACACACUUCACCAUUCUGUUUGUAUGCCCUAAAUAUGAAAUUAUAUGGAUAAAAUAUAUGAAUUCCAUUUUUAAGUGUUCUCGACAGCAGGGGUGUCAUAAAAUUUGUUAUCUUCCAAACAACACUUGAUGCAUUCUUUUGUGAGACUGUUGCAAAUUUUAGUCUUGAGAUUAGUACGGUAACUCUUAUCGUUUUCCUUUCUAUCUGUGACUUCCUGUUGUAUAUGCCUGUGUUGUGAUUUUGCUGUUGUAUGCCAAUAAAGGCUGUGUAUUGCAUACCUGAGAAA